rnacentral:lncRNA from 1 species
AAAUGAAGGCCCACUUAUUACUCCUGAUGGCUAGAGCAAUUGCCACUUGUUCUGCCACCAUGGGUUCCUUGGUAAAAAUAGUGAUAGCGUCUUGCACCUUUCCUUGCGAAUUUGAUACAAUGGCCGUAUAGGCUUCUUUACCUUUCACCCAGGCAUCAUCAACUAUAGCUGCCAGUUGGUUCUGCUGUUCUAUAUCCUGCAAGA